UCCCCGUUGGUGUAACUGGCAGCACGCCUCGUUCUGGUCGAGGUAAGUCGAGGUUCGAAUCCUUGGCGGGGAG
rnacentral:tRNA from 1 species